rnacentral:rRNA from 1 species
UAAUGAGAGCGGCGUACGGGUGCGUAACACGUGUGCAACCUGCCUUUAUCUGGGGGAUAGCCUUUCGAAAGGAAGAUUAAUACCCCAUAAUAUAUUGAUUGGCAUCAAUUAAUAUUGAAAGCUCCGGCGGAUAGAGAUGGGCACGCGUAAGAUUAGCUAGUUGGUGAGGUAACGGCUCACCAAGGCUGCGAUCCUUAGGGGGCCUGAGAGGGUGAUCCCCCACACUGGUACUGAGACACGGACCAGACUCCUACGGGAGGCAGCAGUGAGGAAUAUUGGACAAUGGGUGAAAGCCUGAUCCAGCCAUCCCGCGUGAAGGACUAAGGACCUAUGGUUUGUAAACUUCUUUUAUACAGGGAUAAACCUACUCUCGUGAGGGUAGCUGAAGGUACUGUAUGAAUAAGCACCGGCUAACUCCGUGCCAGCAGCCGCGGUAAUACGGAGGGUGCAAGCGUUAUCCGGAUUUAUUGGGUUUAAAGGGUCCGUAGGCGGGUCGAUAAGUCAGUGGUGAAAGCCUGCAGCUUAACUGUAGAACUGCCGUUGAUACUGUCGGUCUUGAGUGUAUUUGAGGUAGCUGGAAUGAGUAGUGUAGCGGUGAAAUGCAUAUAUAUUACUCAGAACACCAAUUGCG